UACGGAAGGCAGCAGUGGGGAAUAUUGCACAAUGGGCGAAAGCCUGAUGCAGCUAUGCCGCGUGUAUGAAGAAGGCCUUAGGGUUGUAAAGUACUUUCAUCGGGGAGGAAAAACAAAACUAAUAAUUUUAUUUCUUGACGUUACCCGAAAAAGAAGCACCGGCUAACUCCGUGCCAGCAGCCGCGGUAAUACGGAGGGUGCUAGCGUUAAUCAGAAUUACUGGGCGUAAAGAGCACGUAGGUGGUUUUUUUAAGUCAGAUGUGAAUCCCUGGGCUUAACCUGGAACUGCAUUUUGAAACUGAAAUACUAGAGUAUCGUAGAGGGGGUAGAAUUCUAGGUGUAGCGGUGAAAUGCGUAGAUAUCUGGAGGAAUACCUGUGGCGAAAGCGGCCUCCUAAACGAAUACUGACACUGAGGUGCGAAAGCGUGGGGAGCAAACAGGGAUUAGAUACC
rnacentral:rRNA from 1 species